CUGCUUACUUCGGCAGCACAUCUGCUAACACUGGAACAAUACGGAGAAGAUUAACAUGGCCCCUGCGCCAUGAUGGCACGCACAUGUGUGAAGCAUUCCAUAUUACA